rnacentral:lncRNA from 1 species
UCGCGCUACUUUUUUGAGGUGGGCACCUGGGAUGGAGGCAAGGAAUCACGAAGUGGCGUCUCCUCGGAAGGGGCAGCCUGAUGUCUUUAACCACUGAACUGUGGUUUCCAACUGGAUGCGCUUUGGGUUCAGGGCUAAGACACGCGUAGGCGGUGCAGACAGUUCAAUUCGUGGGCGGCUUUUUCUCUCCCCUGCGCGGUUUUGCAGAACUGAGGAUUCACGUUUGCCACGCAGUCUCUAAAGCCUCCUCCCAGCCCUCGCCGGAUUUCUGCAUCGGAAUUGGAUUGGAUCACACACAAAAGAAGAGCCCAGGAACUCGUUCACCACCUUGCACCUUGCCUGUUAGUUCACGGCAUAAUGGUAACAGAGUCUUCAUUAAUGGAAGCAACGUUACUACCGUGAGCCCGGA